rnacentral:tRNA from 1 species
AUCAAAAGAGAAGAUCUACAGCCUUCAUCGCCAACCCCCAAAACUGGCAUUUUAAUUUAAACUAUCUUUUG